UGAACUAGACUUAAAUUCCUUCUUAAAUUCCUUGAAGCCGUCCAAUUUCACAAUUCCAAUUGUAUUGAAAAUAAAUUCCCUUCUUAAAUUCCCUUCUUAAAUUCCUUGAAGCCGUCCAAUUGUAUUCUCAUAAUUCUCAAUAUAAUUCUCACAAUUCGUCAACAGCUCAGUCUAUCAAGGCGGCUCUCCCAAUUCAAUUCGUCACCGCCUAUCGGAAACCUCCUCCCCCAAUUCUCACCGCCUCCCCCAAUUCUCGUCUGCAAUAGGUGAUUCAUCUCUGCUCGAGGACGCUUCAUUUCCAGCUCAAGACAAAUUUUCCAGCGGUUUUUCCUCUCACUGACUUCGUUUUCCUCUCAAUUGAGAUCGAGGUGAAUAUCUUCAUUCCUUUGUUCAAUUACUCUUUCGAUUAUGCUAAUUGGUUAGAGAUUUAGAGCUGUAGUGUUCUCCCCUCAAUUUUAGCAAUGGCUUUUGAGUGUUUGAUUUUGAUUAGGAAAUGAAUAUUUUUAGGAAUGAAAUCAGAUUCAGGUGAUUACUUGUAUAGAAUGUUGAUUAUACCGUUGGUUGAAUUAGUAAUAAGAGAAAAUGAGAAUUUUGUAGAUUCGAUUUUACCCUAAUUCGAUUAAAAAUUAGGAACAGAUGUAGAACACAUUCGUGCCAUCUUCCAUGUGUUUGUUAAAAUGUUCAAACAGAUCUUUCUAUGAUUAGGAUUCAAUAAUGGCCAGACUUAAUUAGCAGUGUUUGAUUACCAGAAUGUUAUCUAUAGAGCUUAAUCAAACAAUUUCUGGACAAAUGCACUUAUCUAUAGAUCAUCAUUAUUUUAGCAUUGGAGUAUAAUUGAAAAGAAAUACUCAUUUCUAUGGUACAAUAGAAACAUCGUAAUGACUUACCUCAUCUUCCUCUUCUUUAUCUUUUGCUAUUUUAUCUGGCGAAUUUGCAUCUUGUGCUGGUAUGGGCAAGGGUCUUGGAAGAGAUUUCACAUUAUCCAGAUACUGUGGGUGCUAAAUUGAAGGGAACUGCAGGAGGUAUAAUGUUUCUUUCAAAUUGAUGAAUCAAUUUGCCUGAUUUGUAUUUAUUCUAGGCAAAGAGUGUUAGUGAUUAUCUUCUGAUAGGAUUUGUAAGGUGGUUGUGAGUUUGGUUGCUUUGAAUUUUACAUAGUAAAAUGGAGAAGUGACAUGGGAAGAGGCACAAAAGUGAUACAAUGGUUUCUGAAUUCUGAUGGAUUGCGUACAUGCUAUCUAGUUACUGAUAAGGAAAAUCUGCAUAACUUAUGUUUAUGCUUGAACUUAUAGUUAAAUGCCUAGAGGAGUUCUGUUUCUAUUCUCGGCCAUGAAUCCCGGCCAUGAAUCCCGCAUAGUUGCCAAAAUCUAAGGUACUUUUCUAUUCCGGUUUGUCUCCCAGUGCAUAACUUGCAUAUUUAUCAUAACCUGAUGAUACUAAUUUUUUCAUAACUAGUUUAGGAAUGGACAGGAACAAUUCUUGCUUCCAACAGUUGUAUUACGUUCGUUCUUUUAUGGUGUCAUGGUUAUUUUUAAAAAUGACCUUGUUGCUUGCUAUUCGCUUGCUUGCUGUUUCGACAUUUUGCAGUGUGACACAUCUCAGAGUGUUCCACAAAUCUUAAUGUAUCUGCAAAGUUGCAACUAAAGUUGAUAAUAUUGGAGCUUUCAUUCAUGAACAUCAUUUUAUUCAUUCAUCAAAAUGUCAUUUAACAUGUAGAAUAGCACCAAGAAUUUGAAAAUAGAGAAAAUAUUAUAUACUGUUUGAACUUAUAGUUAAAUGCCUAGAGGAGGAUUUACCGGACGACUUAGAGAAGCCUCAUCCCGUGGCACUCAGCUUAAGGAACUAGAGCACGUUCCUCCCGAGCUAGAGAAUAUCUUCACACUUUUUGACGUUCCAGUUUCAGUUGUUUACAUUUUUAAUUAUUGUUAAAUUUUUAUUAAAAUUGUUUGCAGGCUAAAGAGAACCAUUGAAAUUUCCCUCCAUUUUGGGACCUAUUUCUCAAGACUCAUAGGCUAAAGGACUCAUACGAGUUAUGUUCACAACAAGCCAAAGAAAUUGAGAAGAUUAAGAGCUCUGAAUAUAUGCGUCCAUGUUCUACCAGCUCAGCUGUGGGCUCUGCAUCUUCUGGCUCGUCUCUCUCUCUCUCUCUCUCUCUCUCCUGGUUUUGUAACUUUCAAUAUUUGGAAUUAAAUCUCUCUCUCUCUCCUCUCUUCUCGUUAAAAUAUUUAACUAGUACUUUUUUCUCUCUAUUUAUGUCAUCUAGCUCCUUCUAAAAUUCCGUGCCAGUUAAGAAUGCGAAGGAAUCACAAUUUUGAACAAGGAUGGGAUCGGGUAGACAACUGUACAAUCAUCGCUAGCCAAUUCGAGCUUCGUGCAUGGGUAUGCCUUCCUAGUAACAAACAGGUACUUAUGGAACUGAUACAACAGACGGUGGAAUGAUGCGACGGAAGUAACUUGGAAGAGACAACCCAAAUCUCCUAUGGAUGCUUUGGCAGCACCUGCAAGUGAUUUCAUAUACCUUGAAAGGUCUUGUGGGUGUAGUGUUGGGAGUGAGUGACCUAAUCAUAAGCGCAACUGAUAUAGAGAGUGGGCAAGGUUACUCAUACGAGUACAACAAGACCCCGAUGGACGGAGACCAUACAAGAUAUAGAGGAAGUGCCAACGAGCAUUGAUGCUCCGCCGGACUGCGAUACUGUUGAAAGAGGUCGCCCAACUGCGACGGCCAUCAAGUCGCCACGACCCAAGCGGCAAGGUCGACCCCCAGUCAAGUAUAGUGAGUUUGUCCCUCGUUGAAUAGGAUUAGUUCAUAUUUUAAUAUUAAUUUAUUUUAGUUUCCUUUUUGAAUUAGGAUAAUUAUCUUAGUUAUUUCCUUUUUGAAUUAGGAUUAUUUUGAACAUUAUAAAUAGGCGCAUAAGCUCUUUUUUUUAAUAAGAUAUAUCAGAUUUUCGUUUA